AUUGAACGCUGGCGGAAUGCUUUACACAUGCAAGUCGAACGGCAGCACGGGGGCAGCCCUGGUGGCGAGUGGCGAACGGGUGAGUAAUACAUCGCAACGUGCCCGGUCGUGGGGGAUAACGUAGCGAAAGUUACGCUAAUACCGCAUACGAUCUGAGGAUGAAAGCGGGGGACCUUCGGGCCUCGCGCGAUCGGAGCGGCCGAUGUCAGAUUAGGUAGUUGGUGGGGUAAAGGCCUACCAAGCCGACGAUCUGUAGCUGGUCUGAGAGGACGACCAGCCACACUGGGACUGAGACACGGCCCAGACUCCUACGGGAGGCAGCAGUGGGGAAUUUUGGACAAUGGGCGCAAGCCUGAUCCAGCCAUUCCGCGUGCAGGACGAAGGCCUUCGGGUUGUAAACUGCUUUUGUACGGAACGAAAAGGCUCUGGCUAAUACCUGGGGCUCAUGACGGUACCGUAAGAAUAAGCACCGGCUAACUACGUG
rnacentral:rRNA from 1 species